AGGUCUCCAGAAAGAAAUAAUGAAGAGGACUGAAUCUAAGUCACUGGAGUAGGCUAAAGGUAUCUUCAGUACCUGACAACAAUGAAACAUCUAAUUAUAUAUAUAAUUCGUGAAAUUUCCAUUGCAUUUUUCAAAUUACUAUGACCAGCUUUACCCCAUUAAUUUUUUACAUAUCUUUUAAAAAUAUAGAUUUUGAAAAAAGUUAAUGGAACCAUUGAUUAACCGAGAAAUUUUCAGUGGCUCAUGCAUAAAUACGGCUACUGUCCUCUGAAUUCACUUUCUCUUUCAUUAUGAUGUCCCUUGAUCUCGCUACAUCAUGUCUCUUUAUUUAUCUUUUAUCUCCAACUCUCAUUUUUCUGGCAUACCUGUUGUCACACUGCUUUUUUUAACCUCCUCUUUUACUUCCAUUCUCACCAAGCAUAUCAUGAAGAGCCAUCUGAAAAUGAAGGUGAUUAUAUCUAGGUAAUCAAGCUAAUUCUAAUCAGAUGUCACCAAAGUGAUUUAUAAUUUUUUUAAUAUAGUCAUUAUUCAAAAGUUUCAACAUUAUUAGAUAAUCAGAAGGAAUAUCAUUGCUGACUGGCUGUUUUGUAACUGGUUUUUUAAAAAGCAAUUUAUUAAUAUUUAUGUUGAUCUUAGACAAAUUUUUAAAAUUAGACUAUUUUCUAGAACAAUUUUAGGCUCACAGCAAAGUUGACUGGAGAAGUACAGAAUGCCCAAGUGUAUUCACUCUUCUACACAAAUAGUCCACAUCACUAUCAACAUCUUGCACCAGAGAGGUACAUUUGUUGUACUGAUAAGCCAACUUUGGUGUGUUUUUAUCAUCAAAAGUCCAUGGUUACCCAGGAGUGGAGGCUCACUACUACAGUCCCUGCACUUUGGAGGCUGAGGCAGGAAGACUGCUAUGAGCUUGAAGCCUGUGCUACUUUGUCUCAAAAAAAAUUCAUAUUUCAUAUAAAGGCUCACAGUUGUGGGUUUACAUUCUAUGAUUGGACAAAUGUCAGAGAAGCAGCAGCCACUCAUAUGGUGUCAUCAUAACACAAGAGUUUCACGGUACCCUGUACCUCCCUCCUUCUGCUUUAGUGCUUGCCAACCACUGAUCUUUGUUUGGCUCCAUAGUUUUGCAUUUUUUGAAUGGAAAUGCAGUUGCAGUCCUUCAUUUACUAAUGUGCAUUUGGGUUCCCCUUAUCUGGUUACAGCUUAAAGGUACAUUUCUUGUUGGUGACAAAUAAUAUUGCAUUGUUUAUACAUCCUACAAUUGACUUUACUGUUCACUUCCUAAAGGACAUCUUGGUUGUUUCUACUGAUUAUGAAUAAAGCUGCUGAAGACA